CCUACGGGUGGCAGCAGUGAGGAAUAUUGGUCAAUGGCCGGAAGGCUGAACCAGCCAAGUCGCGUGAGGGACGACUGCCCUAUGGGUUGUAAAUAUCUUUUAUAAGGGAAGAAUAAAUGCUGCGUGUAGCAUGAUUCCUGUACCUUAUGCACAAGCAACGGCUAACUCAGUGCCGGCACACGCGGUAAUACGGUGGAUGCGAGUGUUAUCUGGAUUUAAUGGGUUUAAAGUGCGCGUAGGCGGUUUUGUAAGUUAGUGGUUAAACGUCGGGGCUUCCCCUUGAUUGGCCAUUAAUACUGUCAGACUCGAGUUCCGACGAGGUAGGCGGAAUAAGUUAAGUAGCGGUGAAAUGCUUAGAUAUAA
rnacentral:rRNA from 1 species